rnacentral:rRNA from 1 species
CCUAAAAAGUAACGGAGGUGUUUAAAGGUUGGCUAGCUCCGGAUGGAAAUCGGAGUGAUAGUGUAAAGGCAUAAGCCAGCUUUAUUGCAAG